ensembl:snRNA U2 U2 spliceosomal RNA
AUUUCUUCUUGGCUGUCUGGCUAAGAUCAUGCGCAGUAUCUGUUCUUACCAGUUUAAUAUCUGAUACAUCCCCUAUCUGAGGAUAAUAUAAUAAAGAGAUUUUUGGAGCAAGGAGAUGGAAUAGGAGCCUGCUCUGUUCACCACACAUUGACCUGGAUUGCAGUACCACCAGGAAUGGUGCAUCCUCC